ACUCCUACGGGAGGCAGCAGUGGGAAGUAUUGCACAAUGGGGAAACCCGGUACUGCAGCCAUGCCGCGUGUGUGAAGAAGGCCUUCGGGUUGUAAAGCACUUUCAGUAGGGAGGAAGGUAGUGUAGUUAACACCUGCAUUAUUUGACGUUACCUACAGAAGAAGCACCGGCUAACUCCGUGCCAGCAGCCGCGGUAAUACGGAGGGUGCGAGCGUUAAUCGGAAUUACUGGGCGUAAAGCGCAUGCAGGCGGCCUGUUAAGUCAGAUGUGAAAGCC
rnacentral:rRNA from 1 species